rnacentral:rRNA from 1 species
CGGAGGGUGCAAGCGUUAUCCGGAAUUACUGGGUUUAAAGGGUGCGUAGGCGGUUAUGUAAGUCAGCAAGUGAAAUUCCACAGCUUAACUGUAGGGACUGCUUUUGAUACUGCAUGACUUGAACCAAGAUGAGGUAGGCGGAAUGUGGCAUGUAGCGGUGAAAUGCAUAGAUAUGCCAUAGAACACCGAUUGCGAAGGCAGCUUACUAGACUUGAGUUGACGCUGAGGCACGAAAGCGUGGGGAGCGAACAGGAUUAGAUACCCUGGUAGUCCACGCCCUAAACGAUGCUAACUCGACGUGUGGGAGAGAUCUUGCGCGUCCAAGCGAAAGCGAUAAGUUAGCCACCUGGGGAGUACGUUCGCAAGAAUG